rnacentral:rRNA from 1 species
AGAAUAUUAUUAAAAUUAUUUAAGGUAAAGUUGUUAAUUAAAAUAAUUUUAGUGAAUGAGUUUUAGUAUAGUUUAUGGAAUUUAUAAGGUGAAUAAUAGAGGAGUAGUACUGUGARGGAAGUAUGAAAUAGUUGAAAWAGUUAUUAGGAUGAAAGAAGAAUGGAUUUUGUACCUUGGGUGUCAGGGUUUAUUAAAUAGUAGUAAUGAUUUAUAAUUUCCCGAAUUGAGAAGAGUUAAAGUGAUAUAAUAAUUAAUGUGUUAUUAUUAUUUUGAAUAUUAUUUUGGUGGUGAAAUGUCAAACGUUUCUUAAGUUAUCUGGUUUUUCAAGAAAUGAAUUUAAUUCAUGUAUUAGGAGUAAUGUUUGAUUAGUAUCAAUAACUUAUUUUUGAUAACAAAUGUAUAAAGGGAYAAGCUUUUAUMUAGUAAUUAUAAAUUAUUGASUUACAAGGAGUAGUAGGCUUUAAAUUAGCUAYCAAUAGAAUAAUGUUAUAAAUUGUUUKGUAGGGAAGUUAUUUUUAAUGGUUUUAAUUUGUAUAUUGAAAUGUUAUGUUAAAUGGGUUAAUAUAAGUAAUGAUGAUAAAAUGAGUAUAUAAUAAUUGUUUAUUUUAAUAGGUUAGGAAGUUUAUAAUAAGGAACUAGGCAAAUUAUCMCUCGCCUGUUUAUCMAAAACMUCYCCYUUUGUGUUUAUAUAAGGUAGGGCCUGCCCACUGAAAAUUUAUUUAAAGGGCCGCGGUAUUAUGACCGUGCAAAGGUAGCAUAAUCAUUAGUCUUUUAAUUGAGGGCUGGAAUGAAUGGUUUGACGAGGUGAUAACUGUCUCAUUAUAAUAUAUAGAAGUUAACUUUUAAGUUAAAAGGCUUAAAUUUUAGUGGAGGACGAGAAGACCCUAUAGAGCUUUAUACAUAGAUUUAAAUUUGUAUUUAGAGGUUUAUAAAAAUUUAGGUUGAUUAUAUUAUGUUGGGGUGACAUAAAGAUAAAAUUAACUCUUUGUYUUAARAACAUUGAURUAUGGGUUUUUGAUCCAUUUUUAGUGAUCAUAAGAUUAAGUUACCUUAGGGAUAACAGCGUAAUUUUUCUUGAGAGUUCAUAUCAACAGAAAAGAUUGCGACCUCGAUGUUGGAUUAAGGAAUAUAAUUAGAUGCAGCAGUUUAAUUAAUAGGUCUGUUCGACCUUUAAAUCCUUACAUGAUCUGAGUUCAGACCGGUGUGAGCCAGGUCGGUUUCUAUCCUCAUUGAUGUUUAAUACUUUAGUACGAAAGGACCAGGUAUUGUAAAUAUUUUAUUAUAAUUGAUUAUUAGUA